rnacentral:rRNA from 1 species
UACGUAGGUGACAAGCGUUGUCCGGAUUUAUUGGGCGUAAAGAGCGUGUAGGCGGCUCGAUAAGUCUGCUGUGAAAGUCCAGGGCUCAACCCUGGAAGGCCGGUGGAAACUGUCGGGCUAGAGUCCGGAAGAGGCGAGUGGAAUUCCCGGUGUAGCGGUGAAAUGCGCAGAUAUCAGGAGGAACACCAAUGGCGAAGGCAGCACUCUGGGACGUGACUGACGCUGAGACGCGAAAGCGUGGGGAGCAAACAGG